AUGGCGGUCUCCUCGCCUUCUUCAGCUCCGGAGAAGAAGAGGAAAUGGCUCCAAAGCAACAGGAAGGUGAUCGACAGGUACCUUCGGGAGGCGCGGGCGAUUCUCGCGACGGCGCCGGAUACCGGCGGCGGGGACGCUGUGGCGGCGCUCGGUCUCAUCGACGCCGCGCUGGAGCUUUCGCCGCGGAUGGAGGCCGCGCUGGAGCUGCGGGCGCGGGCGCUCCUCGCGCUGCGGCGGUACCGCGAGGUCGCGGAGAUGCUCCGUGACUACAUCCCCAGCUGCGGCAAAUCCUGCUCCGGCGAGGAUGCCUCCUCCUCCUCCUCCUUGUCCUCCUGCAGCUCCGGUGACCUUGGCACGAUCUCCCGUGCCAAGCUCCUCUCUCCCGAGCGCCACCGCUCCGACGCGGCCGAGACUGACACUGGGACCGCCCGCUCCUUCCGCUGCUUCGAUGUCUCCGAGCUCAAGCGCCGCGUCCUAGCCGGCCUCUCUAAGAACCCCAACACGGACACGCAGUGGAGGUACUUGGUCCUUGGGGAAGCUUGCUUUCACCUGGGCCUCAUCGAAGAUGCCAUGGUUCUUCUCCAGACCGGCCGCCGCCUCGCCUCGGCGGCUUUCCGCCGCGAGAGCGUUUGUUGGUCCGAGGACAGCUUCUCGUCAUCGACUGUCACCGCAGCUGUUGCCUCGGUGCCGUCGGGCAACGCUUCCAAGUCCGGGCCGGCGUUCAUCAUACCGGCCGUGGAGUCGGAGGCCAUGUCCCAGCUCCUGGCUCACGUGAAGCUCCUGCUCCGCCGCCGCACGGCCGCCAUGGCGGCCCUCGACGCGGGCCUCCCAGCGGAGGCCGUCCGCCAUUUCUCCAAGAUACUCGAGGCACGCCGUGGCGUGCUCCCGCACACCUUCGCCGCCGCGUGCCUCGUCGGCCGCGCCGCGUCAUUCCAGGCUGGCGGCCGCCCGGCAGACGCCAUAGCAGAUUGCAACCGUGCGCUGGCUCUCGACCCCGCGUACAUCCCGGCGCUCCGCGCCCGUGCCGAUCUUCUUCAGUCCGUGGGAGCACUCUCCGAUUCCCUUCGUGACCUUGACCACCUCAAACUUCUGUACGACGCGGCGCUCCGUGACGGCAAGCUGCCGGGGCCUAGGUGGCGACCGCAGGGUGGCGUGCGGUACCGCGAGAUCGCCGGCGCCCACCGCAAGCUGAUCGCCCGGAUUCAGGGACUACGUAGCCGCGCCGCCGUCGGCGAGGGGUGCAACAUCGAUUACUACGCUCUGCUGGGCGUGCGGCGCGGGUGCACGCGCUCUGAGCUGGAGCGCGCGCACUUGCUGCUCUCGCUCAAGCUCAAGCCGGACCGCGCCGUGGUGUUCGGCGAGCGGCUGGAGCUGGUGGACGAGCACCGCGACCUGGAGGCGGUGCGCGACCAGGCCCGCAUGUCCGCUCUGCUCUUGUACAGGAUGCUGCAGAAGGGGUACUCGUUCAUCAUGUCGGCCGUGAUCGACGAGGAGGCUGCCGCUAGGCAGAGGGCGAAAGAAGCCGCGACCGCCGCGGCGGCGUUGCCCAAGCAACAGCAAGCCGCGCCGGUACCGGAGAAUCCUCCUGCCGUUAACAGCUCCACCGCGAGGACGGCGGCGAAACCGAAGGCGAAGGCUGGCGCGGCCGUUGCAACGCUGUCGUCCCAGGCGACGGCGCCGGUGUACCAAGGGGUGUUCUGCCGCGACCUGGCGGUGGUGGGCACGCUGCUGUCCCGCAGCGGGUUCGACCGCUCCCUCCCGGUGAAAUGCGAGGCGAUGAGCUGCUGA
rnacentral:rRNA from 1 species